UUAAGUUAUUAAGGGCGCACGGUGGAUGCCUUGGCACUAGAAGCCGAUGAAGGACGUUACUAACGACGAUAUGCUUUGGGGAGCUGUAAGUAAGCUUUGAUCCAGAGAUUUCCGAAUGGGGAAACCCAGCAUGAGUUAUGUCAUGUUAUCGAUAUGUGAAUACAUAGCAUAUCAGAAGGCACACCCGGAGAACUGAAACAUCUUAGUACCCGGAGGAAGAAAAAGAAAAUUCGAUUCCCUUAGUAGCGGCGAGCGAAACGGGAAGAGCCCAAACCAACAAGCUUGCUUGUUGGGGUUGUAGGACACUCUAUACGGAGUUACAAAGGACGACAUUAGACGAAUCAUCUGGAAAGAUGAAUCAAAGAAGGUAAUAAUCCUGUAGUCGAAAAUGUUGUCUCUCUUGAGUGGAUCCUGAGUACGACGGAACACGUGAAAUUCCGUCGGAAUCUGGGAGGACCAUCUCCUAAGGCUAAAUACUCUCUAGUGACCGAUAGUGAACCAGUACCGUGAGGGAAAGGUGAAAAGCACCCCGGAAGGGGAGUGAAAUAGAACCUGAAACCGUGUGAUUACAAGUAGUCAGAGCCCGUUAAUGGGUGAUGGCGUGCCUUUUGUAGAAUGAACCGGCGAGUUACGAUUUGAUGCAAGGUUAAGCAGUAAAUGUGGAGCCGUAGCGAAAGCGAGUCUGAAUAGGGCGUUUAGUAUUUGGUCGUAGACCCGAAACCAGGUGAUCUACCCUUGGUCAGGUUGAAGUUCAGGUAACACUGAAUGGAGGACCGAACCGACUUACGUUGAAAAGUGAGCGGAUGAACUGAGGGUAGCGGAGAAAUUCCAAUCGAACCUGGAGAUAGCUGGUUCUCUCCGAAAUAGCUUUAGGGCUAGCCUCAAGUGAUGAUUAUUGGAGGUAGAGCACUGUUUGGACGAGGGGCCCCUCUCGGGUUACCGAAUUCAGACAAACUCCGAAUGCCAAUUAAUUUAACUUGGGAGUCAGAACAUGGGUGAUAAGGUCCGUGUUCGAAAGGGAAACAGCCCAGACCACCAGCUAAGGUCCCAAAAUAUAUGUUAAGUGGAAAAGGAUGUGGCGUUGCCCAGACAACUAGGAUGUUGGCUUAGAAGCAGCCAUCAUUUAAAGAGUGCGUAAUAGCUCACUAGUCGAGUGACACUGCGCCGAAAAUGUACCGGGGCUAAACAUAUUACCGAAGCUGUGGAUUGUCCUUUGGACAAUGGUAGGAGAGCGUUCUAAGGGCGUUGAAGCAUGAUCGUAAGGACAUGUGGAGCGCUUAGAAGUGAGAAUGCCGGUGUGAGUAGCGAAAGACGGGUGAGAAUCCCGUCCACCGAUUGACUAAGGUUUCCAGAGGAAGGCUCGUCCGCUCUGGGUUAGUCGGGUCCUAAGCUGAGGCCGACAGGCGUAGGCGAUGGAUAACAGGUUGAUAUUCCUGUACCACCUAUAAUCGUUUUAAUCGAUGGGGGGACGCAGUAGGAUAGGCGAAGCGUGCGAUUGGAUUGCACGUCUAAGCAGUAAGGCUGAGUAUUAGGCAAAUCCGGUACUCGUUAAGGCUGAGCUGUGAUGGGGAGAAGACAUUGUGUCUUCGAGUCGUUGAUUUCACACUGCCGAGAAAAGCCUCUAGAUAGAAAAUAGGUGCCCGUACCGCAAACCGACACAGGUAGUCAAGAUGAGAAUUCUAAGGUGAGCGAGCGAACUCUCGUUAAGGAACUCGGCAAAAUGACCCCGUAACUUCGGGAGAAGGGGUGCUCUUUAGGGUUAACGCCCAGAAGAGCCGCAGUGAAUAGGCCCAAGCGACUGUUUAUCAAAAACACAGGUCUCUGCUAAACCGUAAGGUGAUGUAUAGGGGCUGACGCCUGCCCGGUGCUGGAAGGUUAAGAGGAGUGGUUAGCUUCUGCGAAGCUACGAAUCGAAGCCCCAGUAAACGGCGGCCGUAACUAUAACGGUCCUAAGGUAGCGAAAUUCCUUGUCGGGUAAGUUCCGACCCGCACGAAAGGCGUAACGAUUUGGGCACUGUCUCAACGAGAGACUCGGUGAAAUCAUAGUACCUGUGAAGAUGCAGGUUACCCGCGACAGGACGGAAAGACCCCGUGGAGCUUUACUGUAGCCUGAUAUUGAAAUUCGGCACAGCUUGUACAGGAUAGGUAGGAGCCUUUGAAACGUGAGCGCUAGCUUACGUGGAGGCGCUGGUGGGAUACUACCCUAGCUGUGUUGGCUUUCUAACCCGCACCACUUAUCGUGGUGGGAGACAGUGUCAGGCGGGCAGUUUGACUGGGGCGGUCGCCUCCUAAAAGGUAACGGAGGCGCUCAAAGGUUCCCUCAGAAUGGUUGGAAAUCAUUCAUAGAGUGUAAAGGCAUAAGGGAGCUUGACUGCGAGACCUACAAGUCGAGCAGGGUCGAAAGACGGACUUAGUGAUCCGGUGGUUCCGCAUGGAAGGGCCAUCGCUCAACGGAUAAAAGCUACCCCGGGGAUAACAGGCUUAUCUCCCCCAAGAGUUCACAUCGACGGGGAGGUUUGGCACCUCGAUGUCGGCUCAUCGCAUCCUGGGGCUGUAGUCGGUCCCAAGGGUUGGGCUGUUCGCCCAUUAAAGCGGUACGCGAGCUGGGUUCAGAACGUCGUGAGACAGUUCGGUCCCUAUCCGUCGUGGGCGUAGGAAAUUUGAGAGGAGCUGUCCUUAGUACGAGAGGACCGGGAUGGACAUACCUCUGGUGUACCAGUUGUCGUGCCAACGGCAUAGCUGGGUAGCUAUGUGUGGA
rnacentral:rRNA from 1 species